rnacentral:rRNA from 1 species
GACGAACGCUGGCGGCGUGCCUAAUACAUGCAAGUAGGACGCAGUUGCGAACGGGUGAGUAACGCGUAGGUAACUACCUAUUAGAGAGGGGUAAAUAUUGGAAACGAUAGCUAAUACCGCACACUCGUAGAUGGACCUGCGUUGUAUGAGCUAGUAGGUAGGGUAAUGGCCUACCUAGGCAACGAUACAUAGCCGACCUGGGAGGGUGAUAGGCCACACGGGGACGAAGACACGGCCCAGACUCCGACGGGAGGCAGCAGUAGGGAAUCUUCGGCAAUGGGGGGAAGCCUGACCGAGCAACGCCGCGUGAGUGAAGAAGGUUUUCGGAUCGUAAAGCUCUGUUGUUAAGGAAGCGGUACUUAACCAGAAAGGGACGGCUAACUACGUGCCAGCAGCCGCGGUAAUAC